CAGCCUGUGCAAGGUCUCUGGCGUGGGUCUGGCCUCCACAGCUCUCUCCCCAUAUCUAAUUUGUCAGGGCUGCUUGGUGCUGAGGAUCAUGGCGGCAUGGGGAAGAUGAGGCUCUCCAGGCUGCAGCCCCAGCUCUACACAACUCAGCGCUGCAGCUGCUUCUCCACACCAGCCGUUUCCAUCAGGAAAGGGGAACACCCCUGCAUUCGCUGAUCCCAAACCUACUGAAGCCACCAGACCAUCUCCCACUGACUUUGGGCCCCAAUUCAGCAAGCACUGAACAAUCCCAUUUUAAAAUGUCUCAGCUUGUGGAUGGUCUGGGAUGCUGUGUCUGUCUCCAGGGUCACACAAAGCAGGGCAGGUAUGAGAAGGUACAGUGGGGAAAACGGCAGCUGGAGCUCCAGAAAUAAAAGCCACCAUAGCACGCUGCACCACAGACUCUCCUUUGACAUUGGGCAAGGCCCUUCUCAUCUCAAAAACUCAGUUCCCCAAUUGUAAGACAGAGACAGCAACACUGCCCUAACUCACGUUAAAGGAAGAUAAAUACAGUAAUAAACAUGAACUGCCUCAAUUCUGUGGCAACAGGACCCCUCCUGAGUGCAGAAAAUUGCCAUUUCCUUUAGUUCCCCUGUAGUGAGUCUGCACAAUCACAUGCUAUCCUAUUGUGCUACCAGAUAAUUUUGUAGCAAUUUCCUCUCCUAAGAUAUUUGACUUCACUGUAAGCCAGUUUAAUAGCCUAUAGAUAUUAACAUGAUCCCUUAUUUACAAUAAUGGGACCUUGUAGCUACUGUAGCUUACAGAUGCAAUUUAUUACAGGAUGUUACCUCAAUCCGCAAGCUACCAGAAAACGUUAUGCCUGGUUGUUACAAAUGCCAUUUUCCUUGUUGAGAUAAUAAAAUAACCCUUUAAAUGA